GGGAUUCGUGGGUGGGUCAUGUUACUUUUUAAGAACAAUCCUUUCUCAAAAGUUGGUGUAGAGUUUGAUUAACCCGUCCCCGACGGCGUUAACCUUGGAGAUAAUUGCGAUCCAGGCAUAAAGAGAAGUCACAUCCUGGUGGUUUGACUUGCAACACACUUCAAACUACUCUCCUUGACUAUGCAUUGACGGAUCGUUUUGGUAGAUUGCUGCAACCCAAGGGGCAUGACAAGGGGAAGGAAGUUUCAAAUGCAACAACAAAAUUGACUCUACUUUUUACCAAACAAAGUGACCAUUUGAUGCACCCCUGCUUACAUCUUGGAAGCUCCAAUUGGAUCGUGAUGCUUAAACUCUGAAAAUGAAGACGAACUUCGAUAUCCUUCGAACUAUUAGUAUGGAAUGCCAAGGGCUUGAAAGUUUGUGUAUCAAGGAUCUGACCCUUACAGAUAAAUCGCCGAGAAGGUAGUUGGAUGGGAUCUAAGUCACCAUCUGAUGCAGAAUUCGGAAGCUGAUGCUAACUCGAGGCUUGUUUUAUCUUGUGG